rnacentral:rRNA from 1 species
AGUCGAACGAGUUCUCGUUGAUGAUCGGUGCUUGCACCGAGAUUCAACAUCGAUCGAGUGGCGGACGGGUGAGUAACACGUGGGUAACCUGCCCUUAAGUGGGGGAUAACAUUUGGAAACAGAUGCUAAUACCGCAUAGAUCCAAGAACCGCAUGGUUCUUGGCUGAAAGAUGGCGUAAGCUAUCGCUUUUGGAUGGACCCGCGGCGUAUUAGCUAGUUGGUGAGGUAAUGGCUCACCAAGGCGAUGAUACGUAGCCGAACUGAGAGGUUGAUCGGCCACAUUGGGACUGAGACACGGCCCAAACUCCUACGGGAGGCAGCAGUAGGGAAUCUUCCACAAUGGACGCAAGUCUGAUGGAGCAACGCCGCGUGAGUGAAGAAGGCUUUCGGGUCGUAAAACUCUGUUGUUGGAGAAGAAUGGUCGGCAGAGUAACUGUUGUCGGCGUGACGGUAUCCAACCAGAAAGCCACGGCUAACUACGUGCCAGCAGCCGCGGUAAUACGUAGGUGGCAAGCGUUAUCCGGAUUUAUUGGGCGUAAAGCGAGCGCAGGCGGUUUUUUAAGUCUGAUGUGAAAGCCCUCGGCUUAACCGAGGAAGCGCAUCGGAAACUGGGAAACUUGAGUGCAGAAGAGGACAGUGGAACUCCAUGUGUAGCGGUGAAAUGCGUAGAUAUAUGGAAGAACACCAGUGGCGAAGGCGGCUGUCUGGUCUGUAACUGACGCUGAUGCUCGAAAGCAUG